GCCGAAAUAGCUCAUUUGAGAGAGCGUCAGUCUGAAGGUCCCUGGUUCGAUCCCGGGUUUCGGCA
rnacentral:tRNA from 1 species